UCUGAAAUUUAUUUGAAAUUAAUUGAGUAUUGAAAUGACUUAUUUACCCUUGUGAGGGUGUAGGUGUGAAUAAUAAGCCAUGAGGGCAUUUUGGUCAUUUGACCCCUAUUUACUAUGUUUGAUUAAAAUUGAUUUUUAAUGAAAUGAAAUGCAAAAUUCUGGUUUUACUUUCACUCUUGGCCGACCCCCUCUCUCUCCCAAACCCUCUUAUUAUUUCAAAGUUGAAUUUGAAGAAAAGCUUGGUUCUUAGCUUGUUUUGGAGCUUUGAAGUUGUGAAUUCUUGAGCUUGGAGUUGAGGAUUACCGGCACCUGGUCAGGAGCACCCGGGGAUUUGGAAUCUCUACUAUUGCGGGACAACAGGAAAGGGUAAGGCAUUAGCUGAUCAGCCAUGAGUUUCAGGAGGAGGGCGAAGAAUGUACAUGUUCAUGCCACUUCAGACCAAGCGGGUUAUGGGUCUAACAGUGUUGACUUUUGUAUUCUGUUUUGCCGCUUAGGUCGGCUAGUAAGAAAGAACUUGUAAUAAGUUUGUAAAUAUUUUUGGGAUCCUAACUAUUUUGAAAAGUUUAAAUAUAUUACAAGUUUAUUUUCAGUCUGUUUAAUAUAAAAGUUUAAAUUUUGCGCUAUUUUAAUUAGUAAUCCCGGUUAGGGGAUUAGGGCCUUAUAAGUAUUUUGGGUAGCGUGCCUAAUUAUUUAGGGCGUUACAAUUUGGUAUCAGAGCGCCAAGGUUUUUAAACUUCCUGUAGACCGGCCGAACAUGUACAUUCGUCGUCAGAGAUAGGCUCGACUCAUGGUGCAGUAAGUAUUGAGAGUAAAUACUUGACUGUAUGUGUGAUCAUCUGUUUACCGCUUUCCAUUUUAGGCAGUAUGCAAGCAUCUAGAGUAUGUAUGUUUUAUGUGAUGCCAUGCUAUAAAUGCUUUUUGUUUAUGUAAAUAUGUAUGAGGUAAAUAGAUGAGUUAGGGUUUAAGGCAAUAAGUGCGUAAGUGUGGUAUUGGUGCUUAACUCGCUGGGGUUGUUGAUUACAGGGGUACUAGUAAUGGACCCUCCGCAAUCAUCUAGACCACAGGGCGAGCAAGUAGAGCCCGGGGUUACCCGAACCGAUCCACCAGCACCGCCUCCACCUCCGCAAAAUCCAGGGGAUAAUGCGGGGGCCGUUAAUGCUAAUCCUCCUGCUGACUGGCAGCAGAUGUUUCAUGAAAUGCGAAGUGUCAUACUUCGUCAAGAGGAAGAGUUGCAACGUUUAAGGCAACAAGCUGCCCCAGUAAAUCAAGGGUUAC